UCAUUAAUACAUGUAAAAAAUAUAUGUAUAUUUUUGCCUUAUGUCUUUGUGUGUGUGUGUGUGUGUGUCCAGACCUAUUCCUUUGAUCUGUCCCAAGCUGGAAAUGACCACGAAACCCCACUUCGGAGUAUGGAACAUGGGGGAACGUUUGAACACACCAACAAAGAAUUGCCUCCUCUUGACUUUGGUCAGGAGGAUAAGCCUCACGAAACCACUCCUACAGCCAACGGAUGUGCAGCAGAGGCGGACAAAGAAGCGUCCCCUUCUGGGCACCAGAACGUCCCAGAGGAGGACAGCUACAUGUCUGAAACCAGUCUGACUCCGCCCCCUAAAAAAGUGGAGUUCAGUCUGGAUCUGGAUCUGAUAGGUGAUGACUUUGAAAUGGUGGAGCUACCGAACGCUGAACCCAGCAAUCAACAGCAGAAUGAAAACAACAACAAUGUCACAAACUCUGGUCUGUACAACAAAAAGGGUGUUUCUACAUGCAUGCACACACACACACACACACAAUCCCACAUACAGUUCCCUCCAAAAGUAUUGGAACAGUGAGGCAUCUCCUGCUUUGCUCCUUCAGGGCCUGUAUAACUUGCUGUAAUAGAUGGAACCAUAAAUUCUGCUGUUUACCAGACAAUCCUGAAGGAGAAAGUCUGGCCCUCCCUUCGUGACCUCAAGCGUACUUGGGUUUUGCAGCAGGACAAUGAUCCAAAGCACACAAACAAGUCUUAAGUCAGAUGGCUUAUUAAAGGUUUAAAGGUUUAAAAUAAAGGUUUUGGAGUGGCCUAGUGACA
rnacentral:lncRNA from 1 species